rnacentral:misc_RNA from 1 species
GGAGAUUUUCUCCUUCGCGUCUCCGACGCCCUCCAUCUUCAUCUCCUCACGGCGCGUUCCUGCGUCCUGGUCCGAGUCUCCAGCUCGCGCCCAGCCGCUUCAUCUCCCAGCCUCUCCUCCUUGCUUCUCUCUCCCUCUCGCGUCUUACUCCCAUGGCGCGCUCUCUGCUCGCUCGCGCUUUGCCGAGCUCCUUCCCGAUCUCCGCCCCACUAUGGCGCUGGCCGCCGCACCUAUGCCGGUUCUCUGCUCGGCCAUGGAAGUCGCGACCCCCUAGCUUCCUCUACCGACUCCGGCCGGAGCUCCCUCCCAUGGCAGCCGCUCGUCUGUCUCCCUGAUGCUCGUCGCGUGCGUCCCUGCCUCUCUGUUCUUUUCUCCUCCUCAAACUCGCCUUCCAGUUCGCUCGACCUCCUUCCCCUGGAGCUCCCACACGCCGCUGUCCUGGUCCAAGCUCCCGCGCGAGCCCCUCCCCUCUUCUCACUAGUGCCGCUCUCUACUUUUCCCUCCUCUUCUUCUUCCCCGCGCACCCAGACAUUCCGGCAUCCGGCCCAGCUCGGUCGCUCCUCCCUAAACUCGCCCCAACCAUGGCCACGCCCCUGCACGUCUUCCCCACGCGUGCCUGCUCCCCAUGGCCGGCUGCCAGCCCUUGUUCCUCCAUCGGACUGCGCUUCGGCCCCUCCCAUGGCGCUCGGCAUCACCUCUGUCUCCCCUGCGCGUCGUGUUUCUUUUCCCACCCCAUGGCGGCUUCCCAUGGCGCCCCAGCUCCCUGGCUCACCGGCCGUGCAGCUCGGCCCCGCCCAUCCGCGCUCCUCCCGGCUCCAGCCCCCUCUGCCCGGUCGCCGUCGAGUUCCCUGCGCGCGCUCGUGGCUCGGCAGCAACACCAGCGAACUUAGUCCCUGCAUCCUCCCUGCUGUUGCGUCCAUGGCGCCCAGCUCGGAUUUUUGCUUGGUUGCCUGCCGUUUCCCGGUGCCGUGGUCUCGCCCGGCCAUGUCCUGUCAAGGUUGUUCCUGCACGCGCGUCCUGAUACCCCUGCUUGCUAUCAGGCCGACCGUCAGCAGCUCCCCGGCCAUGUCUUCAUCCAUAACACCGUCAACCGGUGUAUCUCCUUCGGUGUGCUGUUGGAUCCCUGCCUCUGCAUUGACUCUGACGCUGCGACGUUCCUGUGCCGUGUUGGUUGUACGCCAACCGCUCAACAAAAUGUGUUGUUGGCCUCCUCACCGAGCACUGUAUUGCCAUGGCACAGAUGCCCGCAUCCUCCAUCUUCGCGUCUUCUAGAUGUCAGCACAACCCCUCCGCAUCGUCGGGCUCAUCGGCACGCUGCUCGUUCACACUUCACGCGUCUGCGACGUCGUCACAUGUCUCCUCGCCAGCAGUGAACGCCUAGGAGAGGAAAUUCGAGAAGGUUUGUAUGGUACGAUAAAUAAUCGUGUGAUGCGGAAGACGAGCCAAGUCGACCCCAAGCGCGGGCUAAUCCGCAAGAUGAUGCUGAUGGACGAACCGAAAGAUGGAUAAUCUAAACAAGUGCCAAGCCAAAGGAUGCUCGCCAAGUGGUCGCCUAACAAACACUAACCUAGUGUUACUCAGGUUCGGAUCUUCUGUGACCCCGGUUUCGGCCCCGGUAGCUUCGGCUGUGCCGGUUUCAGCUUCGGGGGCUUCCACUCUGGUGGCUUCAGCUGCGGCGCCUUUGGCUUCGGCGGUCUCGACAAAAGCAACUUUUGACACUGUCGCCGGUGGCGGCGUCUGAUGAAUCACAUCUGAUAUCUGAAUAAGUCUUCGUUUUUCGGCAGUGCAGGACCUUGUUCUGCCGAAGCUGCUUCGUCCUUCUGAAAAAACUUCGUCAGUUCCGGCGCCAGCGGACAUAGCUUGGCAGGCAAGGGUUCAGUCAUUACCAUCAUAAUCUCUUCUACAUCGGCAGCAGAAGGCGUUGCAGGAGUAUCUUCUUCUCGAACCAACGUUUUUGGUUCUGGAGAUGCAGUUUUUCUCUUUCUUGCAGCAGCCACCUUCAGCUCAGGGCUCAACUUUUUGGCCACUUUGGUGCUCUCUUCGUCAACAGCGCUGGCAAUUCUUUUUCUCUUCGGGCCGCCAGCAUCUCCGCCCAAUCGCCCAUAGUCAGGAUAUUCGAAGCCUAUAGCAUCAAGUACUCUGUUUAGCCUUCGUUUCGGCCGGGUGCCGAAGGCUGCUGUCAUCAAUUGGUC